rnacentral:lncRNA from 1 species
GCGCGCCUUGAUGAGAUUUAGGCCAUGAUGCGUCACUGUCCGAGAAAAGAUCAUGAGCGGCCUAUAGUGAGAUCUUCAAACCUCAUCACUUACAGCACAGGCCAUCUGCCCAGCUGAACUGAAACAUGGCUGCUUUUAAAAUCUCGUCCUUGAAUGAGUUCAAUGGUUUGCUUUGAUUUUUUUCUUUUUCAGAUGACAUUAUGCACCGAGUCUACUCGCCGACUCGACAAAUAGUCACUGGUUACUUGGGAUAAACUACCUGGAGGACAAGCAAAACACAUUUUGGAAGUGGAAUACAGGACGUUAGUUUUUUUGUGUGAAAUUACAGUACAGGCAGUGGUGAAGAAUGAACCCCAUGAAUAUGAACAGUCUGAACGUGUCCGUCUCUGGGAACCAGCACACGUAUCAGUACGCCGUCUAUGAGUCUCCGCUGUUUAAGGACUACAGACCUCCAGCCAGAGAUCUCAUCCAGUUUCCCAGAGCCUUGCUCUACCUGAUGAUGGCCGCGGUGGUGGUGGUCGCUGUCGCUUAUGCCAUUGUGGGACAUUUAAUUAAAGACCUUGCGCAUGACAUCUUGGAUUGGGCUUUAGGUCCGAAUGAGGAGAUCUUAAAGGCCAACAGUGAGGCAGGUGAUGACGGUUCCACACACAUGCCACCAGGCCUCACACACUCCCACCCCAACGCCUUCCACGUUUGGGAUCAGGACGACGUGGUCAUCCCCCUCUCUCCGGAGCACAGCCCCCAGAACAGCCCUCUUCUGGCUGUUCUCCCUUUUAUUCCUCACUUCUUCCCCUCUCCUGCCUCUCACAGUAUGCUCAACAGCCCUGCACUGCCCCAAAUACAGCUGGAGGAUAACAAGAGCCCCAACAAGACACCACAAGAGGCCUUCGUCUUUCCUUCACCUAAAAUUACAGGACAUAGUUCCACUUUCUCACACGUGUCAUUCCAUGAGAGGAGAGAUGGGACAGAUAACGUUUGAACCACUGAACAAUGGCUCACACUAGACUGUAGUCCACGACUUCUUAAAGGAAUAGUUCACCCCAAAAUGAAAAUUGACUCACCCUCAGGACAUCCAAGAUAUAAAUAAGUUUGUUUCUUCAUCAGA